UACGGAGGGGGCUAGCGUUGUUCGGAAUUACUGGGCGUAAAGCGCACGUAGGCGGCUUUGUAAGUUAGAGGUGAAAGCCCGGGGCUCAACUCCGGAAUUGCCUUUAAGACUGCAUCGCUAGAAUUGUGGAGAGGUAAGUGGAAUUCCGAGUGUAGAGGUGAAAUUCGUAGAUAUCAGGAAGAACACCCGUGGCGAAAGCGGCUCUCUAGGACGGUACUGACGCUGAGACGCGAAAGCGUGGGGAGCGAACAGG
rnacentral:rRNA from 1 species